rnacentral:rRNA from 1 species
GAUGAACGCUGGCGGCGUGCCUAAUACAUGCAAGUCGAGCGAACAGACGAGGAGCUUGCUCCUCUGACGUUAGCGGCGGACGGGUGAGUAACACGUGGAUAACCUACCUAUAAGACUGGGAUAACUUCGGGAAACCGGAGCUAAUACCGAAUAAUAUAUUGAACCGCAUGGUUCAAUAGUGAAAGACGGUUUUGCUGUCACUUAUAGAUGGAUCCGCGCCGCAUUAGCUAGUUGGUAAGGUAACGGCUUACCAAGGCAACGAUGCGUAGCCGACCUGAGAGGGUGAUCGGCCACACUGGAACUGAGACACGGUCCAGACUCCUACGGGAGGCAGCAGUAGGGAAUCUUCCGCAAUGGGCGAAAGCUUGACGGAGCAACGCCGCGUGAGUGAUGAAGGUCUUCGGAUCGUAAAACUCUGUUAUUAGGGAAGAACAAAUGUGUAAGUAACUAUGCACGUCUUGACGGUACCUAAUCAGAAAGCCACGGCUAACUACGUG